rnacentral:rRNA from 1 species
CAAUAGCGUAUAUUAAAGUUGUUGCGGUUAAAAAGCUCGUAGUUGGAUUUCUGUUGGGAACGACCGGUCCGCCCAUUGGGUGUGUAUCUGGCUUGUUCUCGGCAUCUUCUUGGUGAACGUUGCUGCACUUGACUGUGUGGAGCGCUACCCAGGACUUUUACUUUGAGGAAAUUAGAGUGUUUCAAGCAGGCAUAUGCCUUGAAUACAUUAGCAUGGAAUAAUAAGAUAGGACCUCGGUUCUAUUUUGUUGGUUUCUAGAGCUGAGGUAAUGAUUAAUAGGGAUAGUUGGGGGCAUUCGUAUUUAACUGUCAGAGGUGAAAUUCUUGGAUUUGUUAAAGACGGACUACUGCGUAAGCAUUUGCCAAGGAUGUUUUCAUUGA